rnacentral:rRNA from 1 species
UACAGAGGGUGCAAGCGUUAAUCGGAAUUACUGGGCGUAAAGGGCGCGUAGGUUGUUGUUUAAGUUGGUUGUGAAAGCCCUGGGCUUAACCUGGGAAUUGCAACCGAAACUGAGUAACUAGAGUACUGUAGAGGGUAGUGGAAUUUCCGGUGUAGCGGUGAAAUGCGUAGAGAUCGGAAGGAACACCAGUGGCGAAGGCGGCUACCUGGACAGAUACUGACACUGAGGCGCGAGAGCGUGGGGAGCAAACAGG